GUACUGAUGAAGAGUCCAAAACUAGGACGAAACAGCUGCCCAGUAC
rnacentral:hammerhead_ribozyme from 1 species